rnacentral:rRNA from 1 species
CCCUUAGAUGUUCUGGGCCGCACGCGCGCUACACUGAUGAAUGCAACGAGCUCUACCCUUGACCGAAAGGCCCGGGUAAACUUGUGAAACUUCAUCGUGAUGGGGAUAGAUUAUUGCAAUUAUUAAUCUUCAACGAGGAAUUCCUAGUAAGCGCGAGUCAUCAGCUCGCGUUGAUUACGUCCCUGCCCUUUGUACACACCGCCCGUCGCUCCUACCGAUUGAAUGGUCCGGUGAAAUCUUCGGAUUGCUGACCAAGAUCCAGCAAUGGAGCUUGGUUGCGAGAAGUUGAUUAAACCUUAUUAUGUAGAGGAAGGAGAAGUCGUAACA